UACGUAGGGUGCGAGCGUUGUCCGGAAUUAUUGGGCGUAAAGAGCUUGUAGGCGGUUUGUCGCGUCUGCUGUGAAAAUCCGGGGCUCAACCCCGGACUUGCAGUGGGUACGGGGCAGACUAGAGUGUGGUAGGGGGAGACUGGAAUUCCUGGUGUAGCGGUGGAAAUGCGCAGAUAUCAGGAGGAACACCGAUGGCGAAGGCAGGUCUCUGGGCCACUACUG
rnacentral:rRNA from 1 species